AUACAGGGGAGUAGCCCACGAGAAAUUUAGGAUUAAUACCCAUAGUGUAAUUGAAUGGCAUCAUUUAAUUAUUAAAGUUCCAACGGUAUAAGAUGAGCAUGCGUCCCAUUAGCUAGUUGGUGUGGUAACGGCACACCAAGGCGACGAUGGUAGGGGUCCUGAGAGGGAGAUCCCCCACACUGGUACUGAGACACGGACCAGACUCCUACGGGAGGCAGCAGUGAGGAAUAUUGGUCAAUGGGCGCAAGCCUGAACCAGCCAUGCCGCGUGCAGGAUGACGGUCCUAUGGAUUGUAAACUGCUUUUGUACAGGAAGAAACACUCCCUCGUGAGGGAGCUUGACGGUACUGUAAGAAUAAGGAUCGGCUAACUCCGUG
rnacentral:rRNA from 1 species